CUCCAGUUCGCUACAAGGCAAUUCUUGCCGUUGGACAUCUGAGCAAACUCAAACCAUCUCUGACCAUGGAGGAAAACCGUGAGCUCCUGGAUCAGUGCUUCAAAAGUUUAUUUCCCCUUCCUCCCUUGGAGAUGAUGAAAGAGGAAGGCAAGACAGAAAAGAAUGCUCUGCUUAUACAAUCACUCUACGUGAGGUCCUUGGAAGCCCUUGGCAAGCUAAUGGAGACUUUGCUGGAG